rnacentral:rRNA from 1 species
AGGGAGCCUGAGAAACGGCUACCACUUCCAAGGAAGGCAGCAGGCGCGCAAAUUACCCAAUCCAGACAUUGGGAGGUAGUGACGAGAAAUACCGAGGCGGGGCUGUCAAAAGCUUUGCUAUCGGAAUGAACGUAACUUAUAUAAUUCGAUGAGUAACAACUGGAGGGCAAGUCUGGUGCCAGCAGCCGCGGUAAUUCCAGCUCCAGUAGUGUAUUUCAAAAUUGUUGCGGUUAAAACGCUCGUAGUCGAAUUAUAAGAACGUUAACUUUUUCAUUUGCGUGCUUAUGCGUUAGCAAAUUGUUAAGUGACGUUCUUUUGUCGCAAGUACCAAGUGUGAGCUUCAAUGCUUGUGCUUGGUCGCUUGCGAAGCGUGCCUUGAAUAAAGCAGAGUGCUCAAAGCAAGCGUAACGCUGGAAUGUAAUAGCAUGGAACGAAUUGAAUAGCGUAGGUGUUUUCCAGUUGGUUGGUGGGGCUGCUGGAGUGUACGGUAGCAAUUGUUCGAAGGAAUAGUUGUUUGUCGUGCACUCUGUCUGUCCACCUAGUAAGGCAUCUUACUAGGUACUGGAUAGCCUAUCGGUUAAGAGGGACAUUUGAGGGCGUUAGUACUUGGUGGCGAGAGGUGAAAUUCUUAGACCCACCAAAGACUGACAAAUGCGAAAGCAUUCGCCAAGAGUGUUUUCAUUGAUCAAGAACGAAAGUUGGAGGUUCGAAGACGAUCAGAUACCGUCCUAGUUCCAUACAGUAAACGAUGCCAACACGGGAUCAGUCUAAAGAAUUUAGAUUGAGGUUGGUCCCCCAGUAAAAAUAAAAGUGUUCUGGUUGUGGGGAGAGUACGGUCGCAAGGUUGAAAUUUAAAGGAAUUGACGGAAGGGCACCACCAGGAGUGGAGCCUGCGGCUUAAUUUGACUCAACACGGGACAACUCACCAGGUCCGGACAUCGGAAGGAUUGACAGACUGAUAGAUCUUUCAUGAUUUGAUGAUUGGUGGUGCAUGGCCGUUCUUAGUUGGUGGAGUGAUCUGUCAGGUUUAUUCCGGUAACGAGCGAGACCACGAUGUCUAGUUAAUGGCUAAUUCACGGCAAGUCAUUUCGGUGGCCCAAGAGGGGAUGAAGGUGUAUUUGAUCUGGUCUGGACUGCAAAGUACGGGUUGGGUUGGUAUGCUUUUGUCUUACCUGUGUGCUUUGGAUACUAGACAGACAACCGGAGAACCAAGCCGGGGGAAGCGUGGCAAUAACAGGUCUGUGAUGCCCUUCGAUGUUCUGGGCUGCACGCGCGCUACAAUGGCAGUGACAGAAAGGUGCCUGGUCGAGAGACCUGGCAAAACUGGAAUCGCUGUCGUGAUUG